rnacentral:rRNA from 1 species
UACGUAGGGGGCUAGCGUUGUCCGGAUUUAUUGGGCGUAAAGAGCGUGUAGGCGGCCAGGUAGGUCUGCUGUGAAAACCUAAGGCUCAACCUUGGGCUUGCAGUGGGUACGGGCAGACUAGAGUGCGGUAGGGGUGACUGGAAUCCUGGUGUAGCGGUGGAAUGCGCAGAUAUCAGGAGGAACACCGAUGGCGAAGGCAGGUCGCUGGGACGGUACUGACGCUGGAGGCGACGAAAGCGUGGGGAGCGAACAGG